rnacentral:sRNA from 1 species
CUUGACAGAUUUGCGGACAGAUAUAGUGGACAUGGGAAUCAAUAGCACCCGCGGUGAAUAUCUUGCCUUCGCCAGCAAAAGCUUCUGUACUUGCACCUACGACCAUUCCAGGGGUCACGCCAUCCAUGACAUCCGGGUUUCCCGCCUUUCCAAUACCGACGAUGAUUCCAUGUUUGACCCCGAUAUCCGCCUUGUAGAUCCCAGUGUAGUCAAAGAUAACGGCGUUUGUGAUCACCAGGUCCAGCACGUCGGCGUCGCACGCAUAGGUAGCCUGGCCCAUACCUUCCCGUAG